UCAGAAGUGCGAAUGCUGACAUAAGUAACGAUAAAGCGGGUGAAAAGCCCGCUCGCCGGAAGACCAAGGGUUCCUGUCCAACGUUAAUCGGGGCAGGGUGAGUCGACCCCUAAGGCGAGGCCGAAAGGCGUAGUCGAUGGGAAACGGGUUAAUAUUCCCGUACUUGGUGUUACUGCGAAGGGGGGACGGAGAAGGCUAUGUUGGCCGGGCGACGGUUGUCCCGGUUUAAGCGUGUAGGUGUGUGUUCCAGGUAAAUCCGGUUCACUUUAACACUGAGGCGUGACGACGAGGCACUACGGUGCUGAAGCAACAAAUGCCCUGCUUCCAGGAAAAGCCUCUAAGCAUCAGGUAACAUCAAAUCGUACCCCAAACCGACACAGGUGGUCAGGUAGAGAAUACCAAGGCGCUUGAGAGAACUCGGGUGAAGGAACUAGGCAAAAUGGUGCCGUAACUUCGGGAGAAGGCACGCUGACAC
rnacentral:rRNA from 1 species